UACAGAGGUCCCAAGCGUUGUUCGGAUUCACUGGGCGUAAAGGGUGCGUAGGUGGUGAGGUAAGUCGGAUGUGAAAUCUCCAAGCUCAACUUGGAAACUGCAUUGGAAACUACCUUGCUAGAGGAUUUGAGGGGGGAUUGGAAUACUUGGUGUAGCAAUGAAAUGCGUAGAUAUCAAGUGGAACACCAGUGGCGAAGGCGAAUCCCUGGAAAAUACCUGACACUGAGGCACGAAAGCUAGGGGAGCAAACAGG
rnacentral:rRNA from 1 species